GACGAACGCUGGCGGCGUGCUUAACACAUGCAAGUCGAACGGGUCUGCCCUGUUUUUUGCGGGGUGGGUCAGUGGCGAACGGGUGAGUAACACGUGAGUAACCUGCCCCUCACUUCUGGAUAACCGCUUGAAAGGGUGGCUAAUACGGGGUGUUCUGGCUGUGCCGCAUGGUGUGGCUGGGAAAGAUUCACUUUUGUGGUGUUUUGGUGGGGUAUGGGCUGGCGGCCUAUCAGCUUGUUGGUGGGGUGAUGGCCUGCCAAGGCUUUGACGGGUAGCCGGCCUGAGAGGGUGGGCGGUCACACGGGGACUGAGAUACGGCCCAGACUCCUGCGGGAGGCAGCAGUGGGGGGUAUUGCACAAUGGGCGGAAGCCUGAUGCAGCGACGUCGCGGGAGGGAUGGAGGCCUUCGGGUUGUGAACCUCUUUCGCCGGUGAAGAAGGUCCUGCUCUUUGUGGUGGGGUUGACGGUAGCCGGGUUAUGAAGCGCCGGCUAACUACGUG
rnacentral:rRNA from 1 species